UAAGGUCUGCUUCCUUGAGCCU
rnacentral:piRNA from 1 species